rnacentral:rRNA from 1 species
UACGGGGGGAGCAAGCGUUGUUCGGAUUUACUGGGCGUAAAGGGCGCGUAGGCGGCGUGACAAGUCACUUGUGAAAUCUCCGGGCUUAACUCGGAACGGUCAAGUGAUACUGUCAAGCUAGAGUGCAGAAGGGGCAAUCGGAAUUCUUGGUGUAGCGGUGAAAUGCGUAGAUAUCAAGAGGAACACCUGAGGUGAAGACGGGUUGCUGGGCUGACACUGACGCUGAGGCGCGAAAGCCAGGGGAGCAAACGGG